GAUGAACGCUGGCGGCGUGCCUAAUACAUGCAAGUCGAGCGAACAGAUGAGGAGCUUGCUCCUCUGACGUUAGCGGCGGACGGGUGAGUAACGCGUGGAUAACCUACCUAUAAGACUGGGAUAACUUCGGGAAACCGGAGCUAAUACCGGAUAAUAUAUUGAACCGCAUGGUUCAAUAGUGAAAGACGGUUUUGCUGUCACUUAUAGAUGGAUCCGCGCCGCAUUAGCUAGUUGGUAAGGUAACGGCUUACCAAGGCAACGAUGCGUAGCCGACCUGAGAGGGUGAUCGGCCACACUGGAACUGAGACACGGUCCAGACUCCUACGGGAGGCAGCAGUAGGGAAUCUUCCGCAAUGGGCGAAAGCCUGACGGAGCAACGCCGCGUGAGUGAUGAAGGUCUUCGGAUCGUAAAACUCUGUUAUUAGGGAAGAACAAAUGUGUAAGUAACUAUGCACGUCUUGACGGUACCUAAUCAGAAAGUCACGGCUAACUACGUG
rnacentral:rRNA from 1 species